AACGCACCUUGCACCCUUUGGUAUUCCGAAGGGUACACCUGUUUGAGGGUCAUUAACUUGUCAAUUGGAGAUUUUCUCUCUGGAGAUUUUCUCUCAUUGGAUAUGGGCUAUGCUGGCUUGUCAGCUCGCCUCAAAUGCUUAGGGUUAGGGUUAGCUAUUCGUAUCUUAAGUUAGUGCGUUUGGUGAUACCUUUUAUACCUUCAGACGUUUGUCUCACAUUCGUCUAUCACCUUUGACUUGACCUCAAAUCAGGUGGGACUACCCGCUGAACUUAA
rnacentral:misc_RNA from 1 species